UCUCUGGUGGUCUGGUGGUUAAGACUGCACUCCCGAUGCAGGGGGCCCGGGUUCGAUCCCUGGUCAGGGAA
rnacentral:tRNA from 1 species